UACGUAGGGUGCGAGCGUUAAUCGGAAUUACUGGGCAUAAAGCGCACGUAGGCGGUCCGUUAAGUCAUGUGUGAAAUCCCCCGGCUCAACCGGGGAAUUGCGCCUGAUACUGGAGGGCUAGAGGUCGAUAGGGGUGAGCGGAACUCCAGGUGGAGCGGUGAAAUGCGUAGAUAUCUGGAGGAACACCGGUGGCGAAAGCGGCUCACUGGAUCGAAACUGACGCUGAGGUGCGAAAGCUAGGGUAGCAAACGGG
rnacentral:rRNA from 1 species